UCUUUCGGGAUCUUGAGAGCGGCGUACGGGUGCGGAACACGUGUGCAACCUGCCUUUAUCAGGGGGAUAGCCUUUCGAAAGGAAGAUUAAUACCCCAUAAUAUAUUGAGUGGCAUCACUUAAUAUUGAAAACUCCGGUGGAUAGAGAUGGGCACGCGCAAGAUUAGAUAGUUGGUGAGGUAACGGCUCACCAAGUCUACGAUCUUUAGGGGGCCUGAGAGGGUGAUCCCCCACACUGGUACUGAGACACGGACCAGACUCCUACGGGAGGCAGCAGUGAGGAAUAUUGGACAAUGGGUGCGAGCCUGAUCCAGCCAUCCCGCGUGAAGGACGACGGCCCUAUGGGUUGUAAACUUCUUUUGUAUAGGGAUAAACCUACUCUCGUGAGAGUAGCUGAAGGUACUAUACGAAUAAGCACCCGGCUAACUCCGUGCCAGCAGCCGCGGUAAUACGGAGGGUGCAAGCGUUAUCCGGAUUUAUUGGGUUUAAAGGGUCCGUAGGCGGAUCUGUAAGUCAGUGGUGAAAUCUCACAGCUUAACUGUGAAACUGCCAUUGAUACUGCAGGUCUUGAGUGUUGUUGAAGUAGCUGGAAUAAGUAGUGUAGCGGUGAAAUGCAUAGAUAUUACUUAGAACACCAAUUGCGAAGGCAGGUUACUAAGCAACAACUGACGCUGAUGGACGAAAGCGUGGGGAGCGAACAGGAUUAGAUACCCUGGUAGUCCACGCCGUAAACGAUGCUAACUCGUUUUUGGGCUUUCGGAGUUCAGAGACUAAGCGAAAGUAUUGACGGGGGCCCGCACAAGCGGUGGAUUAUGUGGUUUAAUUCGAUGAUACGCGAGGAACCUUACCAAGGCUUAAAUGGGAAAUGACAGGCUUAGAAAUAGGCUUUUCUUCGGACAUUUUUCAAGGUGCUGCAUGGUUGUCGUCAGCUGCGUGCCGUGAGGUGUUAGGUUAAGUCGUGCAACGAGCGCAACCCCUGUCACUAGUUGCCAUCAUUAAGUUGAUGACUCUAGUGAGACUGCCUACGCAAGUAGAGAGGAAGGUGGGGAUGACGUCAAAUCAUCACGGCCCUUACGCCUUGGGCCACACACGUAAUACAAUGGCCGGUACAGAGGGCAGCUACACUGCGAAGUGAUGCAAAUCUCGAAAGCCGGUCUCAGUUCGGAUUGGAGUCUGCAACUCGACUCUAUGAAGCUGGAAUCGAGUAGUAAUCGCGCAUCAGCCAUGGCGCGGUGAAUACGUUCCCGGGCCUUGUACACACCGCCCGUCAAGCCAUGGAAGUCUGGGGUACCUAA
rnacentral:rRNA from 1 species